UCAUCCCCCUCCGAACACACACACCCCAACCUCGCCGAUGCUGCGGCUCUCAGCUAAUUGGUCGUCUCCUUAAGUGCUGCUGCUGCACUAUUCUCCAGAUGGGAUGGAGGGAGAGAUGGAGGAAGAGGAGGGGAUGAGGAAAGAGGAAGUGCGAGGAGAGAGAGGAAUGAUUGAUGGCAGGGGAUAAAGAAGCUGCAUCGAAAGGAUGCAUAAAAAAGGGAAGGAAGGACGAUGGGGGAAUAAGAGAGUGGAGGAAUGGGAAAUGAAGGUACUUCUGAGUGAAUGAAGGUGGAGAGUGUGAGGAAAAACACAAGGAUGAGGAAGAGGAGGAUAAUCGAUGUUGUCUGUAGUGACUGAGGAGACGAAUGAGGAGCUUUAGGCCAACACGCAGCAGUAACUCUUGACUCUUUUCAUCAGACAGCCUCUGUUAUUUCCAACACACACUCACAGAUGGACCCUUGCAGCAGGAGAUUUUAUAACUCAAACUGAACAUCAUUUGAGCAGUGCCAACCAUAGAAGUAUCCAUCCAUCCAUCCAUCCAUCCAUCCAUCCAUCCAUCCAUCCAUCCAUCCCCAGCAGAGUUUGUGAACCUUACCAG